rnacentral:rRNA from 1 species
AUUGAACGCUGGCGGCAGGCCUAACACAUGCAAGUCGAGCGAGCGGCGGACGGGUGAGUAGUGUCUGGGAAACUGCCUGAUGGAGGGGGAUAACUACUGGAAACGGUAGCUAAUACCGCAUACCAUAAGCAGUGCCCAGAUGGGCUUAGCUAGUAGGUGGGGUAAUGGCUCACCUAGGCGACGAUCCCUAGCUGGUCUGAGAGGAUGACCAGCCAAACUGGAACUGAGACAGGGUCCAGACUCCUACGGGAGGCAGCAGUGGGGAAUAUUGCACAAUGGGCGCAAGCCUGAUGCAGCCAUGCCGCGUGUAUGAAGAAGGCCUUCGGGUUGUAAAGUACUUUCAGCGAGGAGGCGUUACCGACAGAAGAAGCACCGGCUAACUCCGUGCCAGCAGCCGCGGUAAUUC